AUUAUUUAAGAGCUUAACAUUGUAAGUAAAUAAUAAUUAUGAAAGCAAAAAAUUAUGGCGGUAUUUUAAGCUUUUCAGAGGAAUUUGCUCUUUAAUGGAUAAAACACCAAGAUCUUACUUAGAUUUGUGAUUUCAAUUUGUAUACCACUAUUAAAACAAUUUAUAACUUUAAUUGUUUAAAUUUACAAAACUAAAAUAUAUUAAGUCAAGGUGCAGUAAAAAUUUAAGGAUGAAGUGAAUUACAUUACUUUUUAGUGAGAUAAGUUUAUAACAAUAUUU
rnacentral:rRNA from 1 species